rnacentral:ncRNA from 1 species
AGGUGCCCAAUUGUUGUUUUACUUGGGUUAAACGGGAAACAGGUGCGCAUACUGUGCUGAUUCUGGCCAUGCAUGCUAGCCCUGUGCUGCCCCCGCAACGGUAAUCAGAAGUAGUUUGGCACGGCCACUGUCUCACGACGGGAAGGCGUCAAACAUUUGGAGAGAUCCACUUCUGUAAGCCCGGAGACCGGCCUGAACA